AGCGAACGCUGGCGGCAGGCUUAACACAUGCAAGUCGAGCGGGCAUAGCAAUAUGUCAGCGGCAGACGGGUGAGUAACGCGUGGGAACGUACCUUUUGGUUCGGAACAACACAGGGAAACUUGUGCUAAUACCGGAUAAGCCCUUACGGGGAAAGAUUUAUCGCCGAAAGAUCGGCCCGCGUCUGAUUAGCUAGUUGGUGAGGUAAUGGCUCGCCAAGGCGACGAUCAGUAGCUGGUCUGAGAGGAGGAUCAGUCACAUUGGGACUGAGACACGGCCCUAACUCCUACGGGAGGCAGCAGUGGGGAAUAUUGUACAAUGGGCGCAAGCCUGAUCCAGCCAUGCCGCGUGAGUGAUGAAGGCCCUAGGGUUGUAAAGCUCUUUUGUGCGGGAAGAUAAUGACGGUACCGCAAGAAUAAGCCCCGGCUAACUUCGUGCCAGCCGCCGCAGUAA
rnacentral:rRNA from 1 species